ensembl:lncRNA
AUGUAUAGACAAAAGCAAGUCAUCAUGUUAUGCAUGUGUGAUGUUUUAAUAAGCUUUAUCAAGAGGGAGUGCUCCAGUGUUUUAGAAAGCAAGCUUAGUUUGUUUUGGACAGAAUGUUACAUAAGCUUUUAUGGUUGUCUUCGUUCUGUUUCUGUGGCUUCUGUUUUCAUAGGAGAUCUUCAUUCACAACCUUCUUCACAGACAGUGCUGCCCUGUGCAUUCUUCUUCACAAGCCUCGCUCCUCUCUGUAAGUUGGGAACAUUUUUCUUAAAGAGGAAUUGCACUGAUUUUUCUAAUUUUUCUACGCUAUGUAAGUAUAUUAAUACGUGUCCAAGGUUUUACUGCAAAACUAUUUUUUUAUUUUCAGAAUAG